GGGAUUAUAAUGGGCUUUGAACAAAUUUCAACAGUGGGUGGCAUUUGGUGUAAGGAUAUCAGGAGUUGGGCCAAAAUGGUUCCACCAUUGUUUAAACCAAUUAGGAAGGCUUUGUACGGUUAUUUUGGAAUUAAAGAAAAAUAACCAUGAAUGGGAUUUUUUAGGGUUUUGUAAGAAGAAUGUGUUGUACCAGGCUUGUUGAUAAUCCCAGUAGGAGAAAGUCAAACAAUGUGGUAAAUGCAUUUGAAAAUUGGAGGGAAAUCGUUUUUGAUUAUGGAGUAGAUCACCCCAUUAUUUUGGGCUCAAAACUUUUAAAAUUGUAGCCGUUGAAUAGGCCGGCUCAGAAUGGGAGUCACUGAGGAAAAAAUGUUUGAAUAUAACGGAUUCAGUGGCUUCCAAAAUACUUUGGUAGUAAGGCUGAGGUUUUGUUAAAUCCC
rnacentral:lncRNA from 1 species